CAUCACAUGCAAGUUGUGGGAUUCUCUUUUAUCUCUGGCAAUGAGCCUAGCGCCACAAAAAAUAUCAUCUGCCCCUCGUUUAUUUCCAACUGGGCAAAAUAUUCAUAUCUUCUUCAAAGAGUUGGUGUUGGCUUUAAAAACUGUUUGAGAGGAAACAGUUGCGUGUAGGAGACAUCUCCCACUUCAAUUAAAAAACUCCCAACCCACGCUAUCAUUUCAGAUUCUCAAAAGCUUUGGAUCCCUUUCUCCUUUCCUCUUUGUUUCGCCUCAAGUUUUAGGUUUAUGAUAGAUUAAUUUCUCCAGACCUCCUUCAUUAACAACGAGAGGUCCACACCGCGAUUAAUUUUAAUUGCGAUUGCGACCGGUUUAUAUCUCGAUUAGACAAUGCUGCUUAGAACUAGGUAAAAUAGACCUUAGGAGAUGUCUUUUUUGCAUAGAUACUAAGCAACCCUUUUAACUUAAUUUUGGAAAAACAAGAUUUUAAAGUGGUGGGUUGGUUUCUGGUUUCUGGACCAGGUCAAUGGAGAUUAUUACACAUAUUCCCUGUCUGCUUGGGUAAUGUCUUUGCGGAAUGUCGUAAAUGCCCUUCCGUCGACAAGGACACCUCCUCCCUCUGUGUUUCUAGGACAAUCAGUUUUGCUGUGUGGUCUUCCGUGACGGGCUGUCCACGUGAUUGACAAUUUCAGAAUUGCUGACAGCUGACUUCACAAAUCCGAUCCAUUUUUCCCUAUUUUUUAUUUUUUGUUUUUAUUUUCUGUGAUGGGAAAUGAAAUUCAUAUUAUAUAGAAAAAGUGACGUGAGGAACUCCAAAAGCCCUUGGGGCGUUCUUAAACCAGUGUCACAAGAAACUUGGGUCGGCAAAUAUUUCCUUAUCUUUAUGAUAAUUUAGUUUCUUCUCCUUUUUCCUGUUUCUGGCAUGUCAAAUUGGCUCAAUUAUGCACAAGCAAUACUCAUAAUCAAAGGGUUUUUAAUAUUAUUAAUGCCGUCCUUUGUCUACCUGAUGUCCACUUGGCGCCAUCUCAUGGGCUCGUGGUUCUUGCACGUCUGACACGGCUGCAAAAUUGGGCGAAAUUAUUAAUUUGGAUAAGUCGGAACUAGGAAGUAAGUAAUGGGAAAAGUAUUUUACAUUAUGAGCAUGAAGUGCUAGCAUCUCUGUUUUUUUCAUAUUCAUUCCAGUCAAUGUUGCAGAGGACUUAGGAAGAUAGUGGGAGGUAUGAUCCCUCGUCUAAUCUGGGCUUUGUUAAUUAACAAAACCCAGAUCAGGGAUUAUAAUAGAUAAUGUUCUAUAGCAGGUCGUUUACUUUUAUUAAGAAACAUAAAACACACAAUGCCAUGAUUAGCAUCUUUGACAAAAUGUGUUGCAGAGUUUUUUAAAUUCUUCUUCUGGAUUAUGAGGUACCGUUUACGUAAACUCGCAGGAAUGUGCAAGAAAUCAUAUACUUUUGGGAAUUUAAGGUCAUGGAUCAGUUUUCAAACUUGGGUCCCUUGCCUCAUUUUAUUUUCAAUAAUCGCAGCUGUCCCUGUUAACAAUCCACUGUGUUUUUUUAAUUCGAUCUUAGUCACCAACUGGUCUUGAAGAUUCAAACUUUUAGUUAACCCUGUUUCUCCUGCACCAUCAUACCCAUCUUUAUUUGUCCUCUGGUUUCUUGUAUGACACUGAAACGCUGAGGAGGAAUAUUGCAGUUGAGCGUUUAUUGUGGAAAAUUAUGCUAGAAUCAGAAUGUCUGUUUAUCAGAAUAAGAUUCUGUGUUCGAUUUUUCAAUGAUGCAGAUUUGAGUUGGAGUGGUCUUAGUCCGUUUGAAAACAAUGUUGAGGAAUUGGGUUCCUUUUGGGUGAUUAUCUUGCCUUUUCCACAAAGGGAUUACGGAACCUCGCACGAAGGUGAUGAUUGAUCUUUUAAGAUUAUAUUCGAUUCUUCCACAAUCUGAGGAUUGUUAUUGGCUUCUAAAUCAUAUGCCUUUCUAUACAAGAAUGUGAAUAAAGUGUGCUAUGAGAAAUUUAGAAAACUUGGGGAUUUGAUUUACUCUUUACAUAAACCAUCUGCUAACAUCCAUUGCUCAAUUUGUUCUUUCAUAACAACCCCGACUACAAGUUAAUUUUUCAACGCCGAUUUCUAUCUUGAAUCACAGACAAGGCGGCGGUUCUAAAACUUAAGGGACCCAAGACUGACUUUACUGGAUUGAUUUUCUAGAUGGUUAUUCUGACAAAUUAAGCAACAAGAAGCUAGCCCAAUUACUGGUUCAGAAGGAGACUUUACUGU